rnacentral:rRNA from 1 species
CAAUAGCGUAUAUUAAAGUUGUUGCAGUUAGAACGCUCGUAGUCGGAUUUCGGGGCGGGCCUGCCGGUCUGCCGUUGGGUAUGCACUGGUGGGCGCGUCCUUCCUUCCGGAGACCGUGGCUACUCUUAACUGAGCGGUUGCGGGAGACGGAUCGUUUACUUUGAAAAAUCAGAGUGUUUCAAGCAGACUCGCGUCUUUGCAUGGAUUAGCAUGGGAUAAUGAAAUAGGACUUUGGUGCUAUUUUGUUGGUUUCGAACACCAAGGUAAUGAUUAAUAGGGAUAGUUGGGGGUAUUCGUAUUUAAUUGUCAGAGGUGAAAUUCUUGGAUUUAUGGAAGAUGAACUACUGCGAAAGCAUUUACCAAGGAUGUUUUCAUUAAUCAAGAACGAAAGUUAGGGGAUCGAAGAUGAUUAGAUACCAU